CUAGAGGGAAUGGAUUUAAGGACACACAGCAGGAGCUGGCUGAAUUUAUUUUAUUUUGACGGGGGUAGUUGGGGGAGGAAUAUCAUUUCUGAAAUGCACAAGGAAUGAAGGGAGAGGAUAUGGAUUGCUUAAACAGUUUUUGCAAGAGGAGCGGUGUCUUGUUCUGCAGGUUAGGCUUCUCAGUCCCUCUGGAGCUGCAUGAUGGAGGCAGUAAGCCAGAUAUCUAUUUCCCCUGGUGAGAGCCCCUGAUGGAAAGCCAGGCACCUGGCAGCCCUGGCCUUUGACACAAUACACUGACAACUAAUGAUGGUGAACCUUGAACAGCCCACAAGGUCAAGCUGGACUAACUUACAUCAACAGUAAUGCAGAGCUACUGGAAGCAUCCAGGAUCCAAGUUGGAUCUGGUCUGCCUGCCUGCUGCUAGGAACCGUGUUGGUGUGAAUUCUCCUGUUUACAUCAAAAGAACUUCAUAUUUGCUUGGCAAAUAAUUCAAUACAAAUUAGAACAUUCAGUUCCAGUUUGGCUUGGUAGCCUCAUGUCGACAGAGCUAAAAUGCUGGUUGUCUUUUAUGAACUACCAAAGUAGCCUAAGAUACUGGGCCUAAGGAGACUUUUAUGUGGUCAUAGAAUUGAUUCUCCCAGUUGGAAACAAGAAGGAAACAUGCAAGAAAGUGG
rnacentral:lncRNA from 1 species